rnacentral:rRNA from 1 species
UUUCGGGUGGGGAUUAGUGGCGAACGGGUGAGUAACACGUGGGCAAUCUGCCCUUCACUCUGGGACAAGCCCUGGAAACGGGGUCUAAUACCGGAUACUGACCUGCCAAGGCAUCUUGGCGGGUCGAAAGCUCCGGCGGUGAAGGAUGAGCCCGCGGCCUAUCAGCUUGUUGGUGAGGUAAUGGCUCACCAAGGCGACGACGGGUAGCCGGCCUGAGAGGGCGACCGGCCACACUGGGACUGAGACACGGCCCAGACUCCUACGGGAGGCAGCAGUGGGGAAUAUUGCACAAUGGGCGAAAGCCUGAUGCAGCGACGCCGCGUGAGGGAUGACGGCCUUCGGGUUGUAAACCUCUUUCAGCAGGGAAGAAGCGAAAGUGACGGUACCUGCAGAAGAAGCGCCGGCUAACUACGUGCCAGCAGCCGCGGUAAUACGUAGGGCGCAAGCGUUGUCCGGAAUUAUUGGGCGUAAAGAGCUCGUAGGCGGCUUGUCACGUCGGUUGUGA